AUCCAGCUGACGAGUCCAGAAUGGGACGAAGUGUGAGAUAUCCUGGAU
rnacentral:hammerhead_ribozyme from 1 species